GCUUAAUGGAGUUUGAACUCAUUCACCAUCUCCAACAUGACUUACAUCUCGAUCGGGGCUAUGAAACAAACAAUCUGGAUAAACAACAAGUCUUUGUUCUAAUCAGUAUGGCAAAGAUUCCAUAGCAAGGCAGAUGGAGAAUACCAACAGCAAAGUACCAAAGGGGAGCAUAUUGAGAUGACAAGUCUAGAAAGGGAUACGGCCACCUCAACGAGACAAACAUGUGGAGGAUCCACUGGAAAAUGACAAAUACGCAUGUCCAAAGUACAAAAUAUGCUAACCGGAAGAAAGGGAAUAGACGAUUUAGAAACACAUCACCUAGAAGGCAAAUAGCAUUGACAGAAUGCAUACAAACAGCCAGGAAGUGCAAUUUGUAGUUUUUGUCAGUAAGGAACGGAUAUAUAACGAGCCAAAAAACACAAUCUGUAAGCACAAUGGCACCUGCAGUCAUCUGAAAGAUUAUUUGCAAGGCAAGUCCCCAAUGAUCAUGUGGCUCUCCAUGGGAAUUCAAGCCAUUGGAUUCAAUAAGUACGCUUAAAUUUUCAGGAACUGGAGCAAUGUAAGUGCCUCUCUCUGUAUCAACACCACCAGUGCUAGCACCACUACCUCCGUUGCAAGGUUGGAGACAGCCACGGAUGGACAAUGAAGAUCCUAGCAAAAAGUAGACCGUAACCAAGGUGAAUGUCCACUGAGUAUAGAAAUAAAGUAUGCGUACGCCGUGGAGAACUACA
rnacentral:misc_RNA from 1 species